CUCCUAUUCCACCUUUUAUUUUAAACUUACUCUGUUAACCGCAGUAUUCUACACGGUCAUACGAAACAUAGGAGUUAUUAUGAAACAUAGAACUCCCAAGAACACUGUUUUCACUUAUAGAGCAUCACCCCUUUACGUAAUGCUUGGCGUCAUGAUAAUCAACAAAUCUCACCAGUUUGCCGUCCGCACCAUAGCCGUCCGCACCACGGCGUCAGACUCAGACCCUUCACAUUCCCAGUUCCCUCUGCGCCCCGUAAACCCUAGCCGCGAUUCAUGGCCCGCAAGCGCCGCGCGCCUUCGCCUCCUCCGCCUCCGCAGGAGGAGUCGUCCUCUGAGGAAUCUGGCUCCGAAGAGUUGGAGGAGCCUCCUCGCCUCCCCGAGCUCCGUAGUCCUCCGCAGGCCGCGGCCAACAACGCCGACUCGUCGGAGGCGGACACGGACUCCGACACCGACGCUCAAGCUUUCCAGAUGCGCCAGGUGCCCCGCUCCCUCACUAAGCAUACGCAUCCAGUUCCCCAGCCAGAAUCCGAUCCCGAAGAGGAGGAGGGCGAGUCAUCGGAGUCGGAGCAUGAGAACCCUGUGCCUGUGGUUCAGAAGAAGGCUGCGGCGGCGGCCGUGUUGUCCAAGGCAGAGCAGGAAAGGAAGAGACCCCCCUCGGAUCCUGCUCCUACCGGGAAGGCAAAAAAGAUGAAGGCUGUGGCUACCCCUCUUGCCAAGGCGAAGAAGGGCAAGGCCGAGCUAGAGAAGCCGGCGCCUGAGGCCACUCCAGCAGGAAAUGCAAAGAAGGGCAAAGCUGAGCUAGAGAAGCCGACGUUUGAUGCCAUUCCAGCAGGAAAGGCGAAGAAGGGCAAGGCCAAGGAGGCAGCUCCUGAGGCCACGCCCUCAGGCAAGGGGAAGAAGGAUGGGGACAAACUAGAGAAGUCAGCAGCGCUAGAUCCCUCACAUUCAGACAGCAAGUCUGAGAAGCCUGUGCGCCCCACAUGGGGGAAAGAUGAUGAGAUGAAGAUUUUGGAGGCCCUUGCUGCGCAUGUCAAGCGUGAGGGUGAGCUGCCAAAGACUGAUUUACUUCUUGCUAGUGUUCGUGACCACCUCGUCAGGAAGAACUGCACCUACUCAGAUAUCUAUGAGAAGGUGCGAAGGCUAAAGGAACGGUACAAGAAAGCAGCGAGCACGGGCAUUGUGCCAAGUAAAGAAGAUGGGCUCCAGAUGUAUAAUCUCUCAGAAGCAAUCUGGGGAGAGAAGGCAAUGGAGGCUGCUGCUGCCGUUACGUCUCAAAAGGGUGGUGCUGUUAUAAAGGGUAAGAAGGGCCAGGCUAACAAAGAGAAGAUGCUUGAAAAUGCAAAGAGUGACGUGACAAAGGAGUCUGCCCCUAGUACUGCCAAUCAAAGUGGUGAUUCUCAGAAAGCAAGUAAGAAGGGGCAAGCCAGGUUGUCAGAGGAGGCUACCACCACUGCCUCCCCAAGUAAGAGUAAGAAGCAGGAAAGUCACAAUGGGGAAUUAAACAAAGAUGAUGGUAAUUUGGCUAAGGGAAAGAAGGGGAAAACUGACAAAGGGAAGAUGGACAUAGAUAUGGAUCGUCUGACACCAAAGGAACCCGUAAAUGCAAAUCAGAAUGGUGGCAUUGUGAUUAGGAGUAAGGAAGGAGAAAUAAAUGAUGAGGGAACAGAAGGAGAUGCUAAUGUGCAAGGUGUGCACAGACGUUUUGGUGAGCUCCAGAAGUUGUAUUCCAACCUUGCUGUUUAUGUGGAGGAGAUUGAGACCCAUCAUCCGUGCGGGGAAACUCUGAAAAGAGUAUUUGAGUUCAUUGCUGAUGAGAAGGCAGAAGAUCUGGAAUCCAAGAUCAAGAAGCUAAGAGUAGCACAGGCGAAGGCGGAGGUCCGUCAAGGGAACAUAAAAAAGGAGGUUCUUAAUUUGAUGCUCAGCUUAGUGGACUAACCUUUCUGAAUUAAUGUGAUGGGCGGAUAGAAGAUUUGAUCAACAAAAGGUGAUGUGUGUUGAAUUUAUGGGAAAGAUGCGAGCAGUGAGCAUAUUUUGCAAUUUCAUGGUGUUGUGCACGCUGAAAUGGACUGAAGGAGUGGACUGCCAGGAGGAAAAAGGGCAGACCGUAAUUUCAGGAAACCAAGCAAGGGGCUACUGUUGGGGUUAGGGAGAAGGUACCUCACCUAAGGUUCAUCUUAACAUAAGCCAUUGUUUAAACAAACUUUCAAGAUUGAAGCGUAUGGAAAGAGCUUUGAAUCAAGACGAAGCUGGUCAAUGAGAGGUCGAAGCUAGGAGGCGUCGCCGAAGGAGAUACAUCUCUAGGACAUGUGAAUCUUCAGUAAAGGGGAACAGAACAAGAAGGUCAGAGAGAGAAAAUGUGUAUGAUAUUUCAUGCAAUUGUAUCCCCUAGUUCUAAAGAUAUUAGUAGGAAGGGCAUUCUUAUAACUUUAUGAAUAGAGGAACAAUACCGCUGCUAUAGGGAUUAGGCAUUUUGUAAUCUCGUGUCUACAUCUUCUUCCGAUAGAGCUACUUGUCUCAAUAGAUCUUCCGAAGGUAUAACGAUAAUGAAGCUUUAUUAUUAGCA